rnacentral:rRNA from 1 species
AACGAACGCUGGCGGCAUGCCUAACACAUCCAAGUCGAGCGAGACCUUCGGGUCUAGUGGCGCACGGGUGCGUAACGCGUGGGAACCUGCCCUUAGGUUCGGAAUAACUCCCCGAAAGGGGUGCUAAUACCGGAUAAUGUCUUCGGACCAAAGAUUUAUCGCCUUUGGAUGGGCCCGCGUUGGAUUAGCUAGUUGGUAGGGUAAAAGCCUACCAAGGCGACGAUCCAUAGCUGGUCUGAGAGGAUGAUCAGCCACACUGGGACUGAGACACGGCCCAGACUCCUACGGGAGGCAGCAGUGGGGAAUAUUGGACAAUGGGCGAAAGCCUGAUCCAGCAAUGCCGCGUGAGUGAUGAAGGCCUUAGGGUUGUAAAGCUCUUUUACCCGGGAUGAUAAUGACAGUACCGGGAGAAUAAGCUCCGGCUAACUCCGUG